CACGUAGGGUGCGAGCGUUGUCCGGAAUUAUUGGGCGUAAAGAGCUCGUAGGCGGUGUGUCGCGUCGGCCGUGAAAACCUGCAGCUUAACUGUGGGCGUGCGGUCGAUACGGGCAUCACUGGAGUUCGGCAGGGGAGACUGGAAUUCCUGGUGUAGCGGUGAAAUGCGCAGAUAUCAGGAGGGAACACCGGUGGCGAAGGCGGGUCUCUGGGCCGAUACUGACGCUGAGGAGCGAAAAGCGUGGGGAGCGAACAGG
rnacentral:rRNA from 1 species